GCCAGGUGUGGUGGUGCGUGCCUGUAGUCCCAGCUACUCAGGAGGCUGAGGCAGGAGGAUCGCUGGAGCCCAGGAGUUCCAGGCUGCAGUGAGCUGUGAUUGUACCACUGCACUCUGUCUAGCCUGGGCCACAGAGUGAGACCCUGUUUUAA
ensembl:misc_RNA Metazoa_SRP Metazoan signal recognition particle RNA